GACGAACGCUGGCGGCGUGCUUAACACAUGCAAGUCGAACGAUGAACCCGGAGCUUGCUCCGGCGGAUUAGUGGCGAACGGGUGAGUAACACGUGAGUAACCUGCCCUUGACUCUGGGAUAACUGCGGGAAACUGUAGCUAAUACCGGAUACGACCCUCGGCGGCAUCGCCAGGGGGUGGAAAGAAUUUCGGUCAAGGAUGGACUCGCGGCCUAUCAGCUAGUUGGUGAGGUAACGGCUCACCAAGGCGACGACGGGUAGCCGGCCUGAGAGGUUGACCGGCCGCACUGGGACUGAGACACGGGCCAGACUCCUACGGGAAGCAGCAGUGGGGAAUAUUGCACGAUGGGCGCAAGCCUGAUGCGGCAACGCCGCGUGGGGGAUGACGGCCUUCGGGUUGUAAACCUCUUUUGGUAGGGAAGAAGCGUAAGUGACGGUACCUGCAGAAAAAGCACCGGCUAACUACGUGCCAGCCGCCGCCGUAA
rnacentral:rRNA from 1 species